UAGACACUCGACGAUGGGUAUUAAAACUAUAUUAAAAGAAAUUAAUAUUUUUACAGCAAACGCGUUAAAUACUCUACCUGAAAAAUAUGAUCGCAAGAUUUAAAUUCAAAGAAAUUGACGGAGAUACCUUGACAGGCGGUGGAACAUGUUGUUUAAUUCGAUGAUCCGCGCAAAUCUUUACCAGGUCUUGAUCGAUAUUCGACAAUAAUUCAUUAUUGGUGUUGUUAAAUUUUUACUUUUAACAUUCGAUAUCCACAGGGU
rnacentral:rRNA from 1 species